rnacentral:rRNA from 1 species
AGUAAAAGUCGUAACAAGGUUUCCGUAGGUGAACCUGCGGAAGGAUCAUUAUUGAAAUAAACCUGAUGGGUUGCUGCUGGCUCUCUUGGGAGCAUGUGCACACUUGUCAUCUUUAUAUCUCCACCUGUGCACCUUUUGUAGAUCUGGAUAUCUUUCUGAAUGCCUGGCAUUCAGGUUUGAGGAUUGACUUUUGUCUUUCCUUACAUUUCCAGGCCUAUGUUUUCUUCAUAUACACCAUGUAUGUUAUAGAAUGUAAUGAAAAGGGCCUUUGUGCCUACAAACCUUAUACAACUUUCAGCAACGGAUCUCUUGGCUCUCGCAUCGAUGAAGAACGCAGCGAAAUGCGAUAAGUAAUGUGAAUUGCAGAAUUCAGUGAAUCAUCGAAUCUUUGAACGCACCUUGCGCUCCUUGGUAUUCCGAGGAGCAUGCCUGUUUGAGUGUCAUUAAUAUAUCAACCUCUUCAUGUUUUUACUUGUUGAGUGUUUGGAUGUGGGGGUAUCUUUUGCUGGUCUCUUUGGAGGUCGGCUCCCCUGAAAUGCAUUAGCGGAACAAUUUGUUGACUCGUUCAUUGGUGUGAUAACUAUCUACGCUAUUGACGUGAAGCAGGUUCAGCUUCUAACAGUCCAUUGACUUGGACAAAUUUUCAUUAAUGUGACCUCAAAUCAGGUAGGACUACCCGCUGAACUUAAGCAUAUCAAUAAGCGGAGGAAAAGAAACUAACAAGGAUUCCCCUAGUAACUGCGAGUGAAGCGGGAAAAGCUCAAAUUUAAAAUCUGGCAGUCUUUGGCUGUCCGAGUUGUAAUCUAGAGAAGUGUUAUCC